GGUGUCAGGAUCUCGUCAUAUACUGGUAAUGCAGUAGGGGGCGCUACAAACGUCUCAACUUUUAUAUACUACCAAAGAAGAACCAAUCAAAUAUUUCUACAUCCGGCACCGUUCGUGCGCCAUCUUUGACGACAAAUAGCCCAUCAAUGUUAUUUUGUUUUCAAAAAGUAUCGAAAAGUAUGAUAGAACACUAAAUCGCAUAAAAUAACGGAAGCAUACGACUGUUUUUUUUGAACGGCAUCCAGCGUGUUAUAAUACAGUAAAAGUCUUCGGGAAACAUUUUUGGCGAGAUGUCGCUUGUGGAUUUGGGAAAGCGCUUGUUGGAGGCAGCACGCAAAGGACAGGAUGAUGAAGUGAGGUCACUUAUGGCCAAUGGAGCUCCUUUUACUACAGACUGGCUGGGAACCUCACCACUUCAUUUAGCUGCACAAUAUGGGCACUACUCCACCGCUGAAGUGCUUCUCCGUGCCGGAGUGAGUAGAGAUGCCCGCACUAAAGUGGAUCGAACCCCCCUCCACAUGGCUGCGGCAGAGGGCCACUCAAGCAUUGUUGAAUUGUUGGUCAAGAGUGGAGCAGACAUCAAUGCCAAAGACAUGCUGAAAAUGACCGCCCUGCACUGGGCUACGGAACAUGGGCACAGAGGAGUCGUGGAGCUGUUGAUCAAAAACGGCGCUGAUACUCACGCCCUCAGCAAGUUUGACAAGACGCCUUUUAACAUUGCGGUGGACCGAGGAAACACUGAGUUGAUGCUGUUGUUACAGGAGGGAAUGCAGAACCAAGUGAACAUGAAUCCAGAGAGGACUAUCCUAAGCGGCACGUCUCCCUCCACCGCCAGCCCUCAGUUCAUCAUCUCCUCCUCUGGAGUGGUCAAUCUCUCUGAUAUUGUUCUCACUAAUGCUAAGGCUAACACAGCAGGAGCUGCAGAGAGUGUGAGUGCUGCUGAUUCGGUAGAUUCUGCCAUCCAGCAUCUUGUAGGGGAAGAUGGCCAGAGAGUCAUCACCAUAGUAACCGACCAACAGGGAAACCUGCAGACUGGCAACGUGGGACAGAAAUUCUUUGUCACAAUGCAGGGGCAACAAAUGGUUGCAGUGCCAGCGGGUCAGAUUUCAGAAGAAAUCAUAACAGAGGACACAAAACCAGUUCCAACACGGAAACGGAAAUUUGAAUUAACCGUCAACCACACAGAUGUCAAACACAAGGAGCCCAAUGAGAAGAACAGUAGGGAACUACUGGAGCAGCAACUUAAGGAAGCAAACAGAAAAGCCCAGGAGUACAGACAGCAGUUACUACGAAAGGAAGAGGAAGCUGAGCAGUACAGGCUUAAACUAGAGGCCAUUGCAAAUGGGCAGACCAAUGGAACCAGCACAGAGCCCCAAGAGGAAGUGGUGCUCCAGGAAGAGGAGGAGGAGGAGGUAGUUGGCGAAGAGGAAGUUGUCAUGUUGCCAGAAGGGGCCAUCAUCAUUAAAGAGGAGCCCCUUGACUCAAUGACAGGAGAAACACUAACAUUAGUAGAAGCCGCCUCUGAGGGCACGCCGUAGCAGUGAACCCAAAGACUCAAACACUCAGGAAUGACAUACUCUGUGUGCCUGGAGUGUGACAUUGUAUUUAUUUAUUGUAAAUCAUAACCUUUUGUUUUUAUCCUUUUUUUUUUUUUUUACUAAUAGCAUUCAGUUUCUGUACAAACCUCUUCAAAGAUGUAGCAUGAGUUAUAUUUAGGUGGCCACAAUGAUACUGAGCUGCUCAGUUUUACAGAAUUGGAAGACCAGGCGUGUCUUUUUAACAUACAGCAGUGCAUGUUAUGGAAGAUUUAGUGAUAAUGUUUUUCAAUCAAGUCCCAUUAUGCACCUUGAAUGCAUACUAUACAGUUAGUAUGCACCAUAGUGUACUUAAAGGAACAUUCUGGGUUCAAUAUACAUCAUUUUGACUUAUUUUUUUAACGUGCAAGUUGUGGUUUUAGUAACUUACUUUCGAUAAAAAAUAAUCUGGGACAGUGUUCUGGUGAAGCUGAAAUUUUUGUUAAAUCACCUGCAUUUAAUGAAUCAGAUGCAAAAUUAGCCUUUUUAAAAGAUUUCCAGGGUCAGUGAACCAUGAAAAUAUUGUGCAAAAAUUUCUGGGUUUACUAGCUGAAUGUUUCUUGCCUGGUUCAAUGUUGCGCGGUAUUGUAACCACGAUUUUUGUUUCUUUAAAAAAAGAAAAAGCAAGGUCGUCAAAAUUGCAAUCGCAAAAGCUGUCAAUAGAGCUUAACUUGAACUUGGGACAUUCCUAAAAUAGUGACAUAAAAUUUAGAAUAAAGUUUAACAGUAUAUCAUAUAAAGAACAAUACUAGACAUUAUCUAGCUUUGUGUAACAUUGACCUGCUCCUGCAGUGUGAGGCAUGUCUUACUGAUGCGAUCGGCAUCUCGUGGUGUGAUAAUAUAUCAGUAGCUAUAUAUUUACUUAGUAAACAGACUCUUUCAUGUAUUAUAAUACUUUUAGCUGUUUAUAAAGAUAAUUUACUCCAUUCAGAGUACAAGAAUGAGCAAUGGUUGUUUCACUUUUUUUUUUAAUCUUGCAUCUUUUCUUUUGUUCUGUUAGACACUAAAUCACGAUUUGCAUUUCAAUGUUUUGUGAUCUAAAAAGUAUGCAACAUGUCUUUGCUUGCAUUUCAUGGUCUGGUCCAUGAGCCUGUUUUGACUUUCCCUGUAAAAUUGACCAGCUGCUUUGUUAUAUAGAUGUUAACCACUUUUACAGUCACUUAUCUUUGCAUAGAAAAAAAAAUGUUUUGCAUUAUCUAUGACAUGUUUUCCAGGUACACACAGCUGAUCAUUAACAUUCCAUGAACUGAAUUUCAAGGGCUUGCAUUACCAUUGCUGUGCAAAACGUAUUUGAAAAUGUACAGUUUUCUUCCAUCUAAACCCAUGAAUAUUAAGAUUUUUGGAGGACAGUAUGCUAUUUAUUUAAUGGGUGAUUCAUGUGCUCAAGACAAUGUUUCCCCCUUAUAUUUUUCUCGCUUUUUAUGUAUUUAGAAUUUCUGUUAAGAUGUCAUCAGCAGUGCUUUAUAGGUAAAAACAUUGAUGAUCUGUUGAAAUUAGUUUUAGGUCUAAAUCAAGUUAUGUUACACUUUUGUGGUAAAGUUUAACAGGCAGAGUGUUUUGAAAGGAAAUGCUUAGAAUUCUAACUAAAAGCAGACCCAAGCACAAGAUGCAUAACAAAGAUCAACAGUUUGUCCCUGAUUUUUCUCAUUAUAUAUUUUGUAAUGAAACACUAUCUGCUCCUGUUUUAGUGCACUUGCAGCGUUUUUGUCUCUGGUCAAAAUAAAUAUUUUUAAGGUUUUGUAUAUCUACCAGUUUUUAAAGGUUAAAUAAAAAUGUUUUUA